rnacentral:rRNA from 1 species
ACUCCUACGGGAGGCAGCAGUGGGAAUAUUGCACAAUGGGCGCAAGCCUGAUGCAGCCAUGCCGCGUGUGUGAAGAAGGCCUUCGGGUUGUAAAGCACUUUCUAGUUGUGAGGAAGGUGGUGUCGUUAAUAGCGGCAUCAUUUGACGUUAGCAACAGAAGAAGCACCGGCUAACUCCGUGCCAGCAGCCGCGGUAAUACGGAGGUGCGAGCGUUAAUCGGAAUUACUGGGCGUAAAGCGCAUGCAGGUGGUUGUUAAGUCAGAUGUGAAAGCCCGGGGCUCAACCGUCGGAACUGCAUUUGAAACUGGCAGACUAGAGUACUGUAGAGGGGGUAGAAUUUCAGGUGUAGCGGUGAAAUGCGUAGAGAUCUGAAGGAAUACCGGUGGCGAAGGCGGCCCCUGGACAGAUACUGACACUCAGAUGCGAAAGCGUGGGAGCAAACAGGAUUAGAUACCCCUGGUAGCACAGAG